rnacentral:rRNA from 1 species
UGGCGGACGGGUGAGUAACGCGUGGGUAACCUGCCCUGUACAGGGGGAGUAACAGCUGGAAACGGCUGCUAAUACCGCAUAAGCGCACGAGGAGACAUCUCCUUGUGUGAAAAACUCCGGUGGUACAGGAUGGGCCCGCGUCUGAUUAGCUGGUUGGCAGGGUAACGGCCUACCAAGGCGACGAUCAGUAGCCGGCUUGAGAGAGUGAACGGCCACAUUGGGACUGAGACACGGCCCAAACUCCUACGGGAGGCAGCAUG